GCAUACCCUCUUGCUCUCCAUCAAAAUCUCAAGCCCUAACUUGCAAAAUCAGUGACAAUCAACCCGAAACCCUCUUCUCCUCUUCAUUUCUAUCCAUCUCUCAUCCCUCUAUACCCUCUUGAUCAAUUUUCCUCCUCUCCUUGAGACAAUGGCCCCCAAAAUAAGGUUGCUGCAGAGAAGGAAGUCUGUAAGGUCUUUGGAGGCUAAGGAA
rnacentral:lncRNA from 1 species